rnacentral:lncRNA from 1 species
UGAAUGUUCCAUGGCAUUCACAAUAAUCCACUGUGAAGCGCUCACUUAAACAUCGGCAAUAGUAACCUCCACCUCAACACCAGGCUCAAUAGUGAUGGAGGUGAUCUGCUUGACAACCUCAGAGGGACUGUGCAAGUCGAUCACUCGCUUGUGCACACGCAACUCAAACCUAUCCCAGGUGUUGGUACCUGCGAGGUCACAAGGUUUACGAGUUAGACCAGUCGCAUGCUGAGAUAUUGUCGAAUAGUCUUAAAAAAGUGAGUGAUUAUUACACACAACUGUCAUUACAACCUGGCUGAUAACUAGACUAGAACCGAUAACCCGUCUAGCAGGCACUAUACCAUGGGAGACAUCGAGCACAUGGGAAUCCAGGUAAAUUAACUUCAACAGGUAAUAAUUACAUUGAAAGGAGUAAUAUUGAUGUUGCGGUUUAAUUUUCAACAGAGUCAAGUCUAGCAUGACAGAUACAGAAAUCAAUCCAUUCAGGACUAACGCCGGCUUUCCAUGAUAAAAGCCAUCCAUGUAGCGAAUCACAGUCACAGCCAUACGAAAUUACAGACAAUCUGAAAUAAAACAUACCUUCCCCACAAGGAGACUUCCUGGUGGUAAUGUGCAGCACCUUGGUGGGCAUGCGAACAGGACCCUUCACUUUGAGCCUCUUGUCCUUAGCACCCUUGAUCAGAUCAG